rnacentral:rRNA from 1 species
GUUAGGAAUAUUGGACAAUGGGCGCAAGCCUGAUCCAGCCAUGCCGCGUGAGUGAUGGAGGCCUUCGGGUUGUAAAGCUCUUUAGCCGAUGAUUAUAAUGACUGUAGUCGGAAAAUAAGCCCCGGCUAACUUCGUGCCAGCAGCCGCGGUAAUACGAAGGGGGCGAGCGUUAUUCGGAAUCACUGGGCGUAAAGCGUGCGUAGGCGGCUUUGCAAGUUGGGAGUGAAAGCCCAGGGCUCAACCCUGGAAUUGCUCUCAAAACUGCAAGGCUCGAAUUCGGGAGAGGAUAGCGGAAUUGUCAGUGUAGCAGUGAAAUGCGUAGAUAUUGACAGGAACACCAGUGGCGUAAGCGGCUAUCUGGACCGAUAUUGACGCUGAGGCACGAAAGCGUGGGGAUCAAACAGGAUUAGAAACCCGAGUAGUCC